GAUGAACGCUGGCGGCGUGCCUAAUACAUGCAAGUCGAGCGAAGAGAUUAGGAGGUUGCGCCUCUGACGUUAGCGGCGGAAGGGAGAGUAACACAUGGAUAACCUACCUAUAAGACAGGGAUAAGUAAGGGAAGCCGGUGCUAAUAACGGACAAAAUACUGAACGGCAUGGUUCGAUAGUGAACAACGCGUUUGCGGUUACUUAUAGGUGGGUCCGCGCCGCAGUCGCCAGUUGGUAAGGUAACGGCUUACCAAGGCAGCGAUGCGUAGCCGACCUGAGAGGGUGAUCGGCCACACUGGAACUGAGGCACGGUCCAGACUCCUACGGGAGGCAGCGGUAGGGAAUCUUCCGCAAUGGGCGAAAGCCUGACGGUGCAACACCGAGUGAGUGAUGAAGGUCUUCGGAUCGUAAAGCUCUGUUAUUAGGGAAGAACAAAUGUGUAAGUAACUAUGCACGUCUUGACGGUACCUAAUCAGAAAGCCACGGCUAACUACGUG
rnacentral:rRNA from 1 species